GUGAAGAACGUAGCGAAAUGCGAUAAGUAAUGUGAAUUGCAGAAUUCAGUGAAUCAUCGAAUCUUUGAACGCACCUUGCGCUCCUUGGUAUUCCGAGGAGCAUGCCUGUUUGAGUGUCAUUAAUAUAUCAACCUCUUCAGCUUAUGCUUGUUGAGUGUUGGAUGGUGGGGGUUUGCUGGUGUCUUAUGAAGUCAGCUCCUCUGAAAUGCAUUAGCGGAACAAUUUGUUGACCGUUCAUUGGUGUGAUAAAAAUAUCUACGCUAUUGACGUCAGUCAGUUCAGCUUCUAACAGUCCAUUGACUUGGACAAAUUUUUCAUUAAUGUGACCUCAAAUCAGGUAGGACUACCCGCUGAACUUAAGCAUAUCAAUAAGCGGAGGA
rnacentral:misc_RNA from 1 species